UUGCUCUAACUCUUGAAUCUCAAGCAGAAGAAACAAGGGGUGUCUAUCCUCCUGCAGCAGACUAUUUGAAACAUGCUGAUAGAUCACAUUUGACGCUUGUGGAGGCUUUCAGAAACAUGCCAGUAGAGGAACCUCUUGAAAAUGAACCUAGAGGAGCAGAAUGGAGAAGAGGGUAGCCAAGAGGAGGCUGUUGUGGGGGAUGCUGAUUCUAACGACGGUGCAGUGCUCGUAAAUGGAAAUGAACCUGAAGAAGAGUGGGGUACGAAUAAUGAAGGAACCCCGUCAGCCUAAAAGCAAUUGGUUGGGGCAUUGUGAAAAUCGAAAUUCUCUGUGCUUACACCAGAUCACUCGGUUUCACGAAGACAUUCAGUUCGAGCUCCAUUCACAACAUCUUUAAGGUGAGAAAUCAUAGUCAUCAUUAUUUCUUAAAGGAGAAAACACUGUUAGUUAUAUUGGUUAGAAUUCAAUUGACACAUGCCCGAGUUUGGGUUUGUGCAAACCACAGUUUUGUCUCAUUGGAUUGGCACUUCAAAGAUGUUCGUACGUCUCGGUCAUCAUUUUGAAUCUCUCCGGUCUUCUGGAAUUCUAGUUUCGUAUUUAUUCAAUCCUAAAUAUAUCUAAAUGC